rnacentral:rRNA from 1 species
UACAGAGGUCUCAAGCGUUGUUCGGAUUCAUUGAGCGUAAAGGGUGCGUAGGCGGCGCGGUAAGUCGGGUGUGAAAUUUCGAGGCUUAACUUCGAAACUGCAUUCGAUACUGCCGUGCUUGAGGACUGGAGAGGAGACUGGAAUUUACGGUGUAGCGGUGAAAUGCGUAGAUAUCGUAAGGAAGACCAGUGGCGAAGGCGGGUCUCUGGACAGUUCCUGACGCUGAGGCACGAAAGGCCAGGGGGAGCAAACGGGG